rnacentral:rRNA from 1 species
CCGAGGAAAAGAAAUCAACCGAGAUUCCCCCAGUAGCGGCGAGCGAACGGGGAGCAGCCCAGAGCCUGAAUCAGUGUGUGUGUUAGUGGAAGCGUCUGGAAAGGCGCGCGAUACAGGGUGACAGCCCCGUACACAAAAAUGCACAUGCUGUGAGCUCGAUGAGUAGGGCGGGACACGUGGUAUCCUGUCUGAAUAUGGGGGGACCAUCCUCCAAGGCUAAAUACUCCUGACUGACCGAUAGUGAACCAGUACCGUGAGGGAAAGGCGAAAAGAACCCCGGCGAGGGGAGUGAAAAAGAACCUGAAACCGUGUACGUACAAGCAGUGGGAGCACGCUUCGGCGUGUGACUGCGUACCUUUUGUAUAAUGGGUCAGCGACUUAUAUUCUGUAGCAAGGUUAACCGAAUAGGGGAGCCGAAGGGAAACCGAGUCUUAACUGGGCGUUAAGUUGCAGGGUAUAGACCCGAAACCCGGUGAUCUAGCCAUGGGCAGGUUGAAGGUUGGGUAACACUAACUGGAGGACCGAACCGACUAAUGUUGAAAAAUUAGCGGAUGACUUGUGGCUGGGGGUGAAAGGCCAAUCAAACCGGGAGAUAGCUGGUUCUCCCCGAAAGCUAUUUAGGUAGCGCCUCGUGAAUUCAUCUCCGGGGGUAGAGCACUGUUUCGGCAAGGGGGUCAUCCCGACUUACCAACCCGAUGCAAACUGCGAAUACCGGAGAAUGUUAUCACGGGAGACACACGGCGGGUGCUAACGUCCGUCGUGAAGAGGGAAACAACCCAGACCGCCAGCUAAGGUCCCAAAGUCAUGGUUAAGUGGGAAACGAUGUGGGAAGGCCCAGACAGCCAGGAUGUUGGCUUAGAAGCAGCCAUCAUUUAAAGAAAGCGUAAUAGCUCACUGGUCGAGUCGGCCUGCGCGGAAGAUGUAACGGGGCUAAACCAUGCACCGAAGCUGCGGCAGCGAC